GAAGUUUAGUGAUCAGGAGUAUUUAUUUUUCUAGUAAAAUUCAAGUUUAAUACAUGUAUAUUUUUUAGUUAUCUCUCUGAAAUAAGAAACACCCAAUUGUUCAUUCUUUUUCAUUUAUUUAUCUCGAGGCAUCUUUCAACAAUGGCGGUUCCCUAGCUAAUUGGGCGAUAGAAUUGAAGAAAUGAAGACGCAUGCAUUUUGUUUUUUGCAAUAUUACAAAUUAUCAGACGGGUAUACAAGUAGGUUUUAUACAAAUCUUCAUCCCUUUCUUGUGUAUUUAUUUAAGAUGAUAAUUAGUUAAGACACUCUGUCAUUGCUAAAGAACGGAGAGUCAACACAUAUCACUCUCUCUCUCUCUGACUGAUUAGCUGAUGAGCUUCCUCAGAGUACUGGAACUGAUCAUAUAGUUUAAGUUUAGAAGGAAUUAAUGUUCCUUGGCGCGAGCAUCGGAAUAAUCUUAGGGAUCGGUUAGUAGAUGACACGCAGAGAUGAGAAAGACUACGUAGUUUCUCGGUUUCUGUUGUGUCUGUGAUUCAAAGACAAACUCCACCGCAAUCUUUGCCGACCUGCAAGAUUUUGAUCCCCCAAUCAUGCAUGGUUCUGUAGUAUCAAAAACAUUUACCCGAUUCUUAAUUCGAUUUUAAUUUUGUAGAUUAUGUCUGCCUUGAUUCAUGAAUUACUUUACUAUCAAUUAGGGUGCACAUAGUCUCCUAUCCUUCAGUAGUUCAGUAUUAUAACCUCUGAAGGAUUGCAGCCAUGUGCUCGGCUCACAGAGCUCAGGAUUUUAUAUGGCCAUGUCCCAAGUCUAUAUAUAAGGUAAUAACAACUUGAUAUUUUUCAUAUAUAGUUUUCUGUGUUAAUUUACAUAUAGGAGAUCGAUCGAGUUGAUCAACAAUUGGUAAUGAUAUAUUCGUACAAACUGUUGAGAUAUAUAUCCCACAUCGGGAAUAAUGGGACCUUGCCUAUGGUUUAUAAGGAUUUGGGUCACUCCAUUUAUUGCCAAUUGGUUUUAGAUGUGAACCCCAGACUACUUUAUCAUGAUAUCAGAGCGGGUUACCCACGUCCAUGUGUGAAGCCUAAAGGCCACACGAACUCCACGUCACCCCAAAUGUUGUCCACGUGUUAGGCUUGAAGAUUCGCCACACGUGCGGGGACGUGUUGAGAUAUAUAUAUCCCACAUCGGGAAUAAUGGGACCUUGCCUGUGGUUUAUAAGGGUUUGGGUCACUCCAUCUAUUGCCAAUUGGUUUUGGAUGUGAACCCCAGACUACUUUAUCACAAACGAGCACUACAUCAUCACAGCAAUUUUCUCAGAAAUAUAGGUCGCAUAUAUUACAUUAUCAAGAGCAUUAUAGAGAAGAUGAGAGAACAUGUCAGUUUUUCUUCAUUCUUUCAAUCUCCUAAUUUUGUAAUGAUAAUUUGCAGGCGGUGCAUGCAAUUGAACGGAUCAGUUCUAUAAGCUAGUAAUGGAAGUUUGAACAUUCAAAGUUUGAAGGAAAGAGCCAUGAAAGUACCAUCGGAGUGGUUCAUUCAAAUGAUUCACUGUAAUGAGACUCCAGUUGGGAUUAUUAAGACGGUACAUACUCGUGAUUCAAUGUAUCCCUGGCAAAAUGAUACUGAUGUAUUAUCAUGUUCCUUAUUAGUCUAGUUAAGAUGGUUAAUCUCACUUUGCCGCUUAUUACCAUUUAUAGAAUUUGGACAAGAUGCGCUACCUGAUCUCUACAAGGUGAAGAUAAGGAGUGAUCAAGUGCGAUUGGACCCAUGAUUAGAUGUAUAAAAUUAGUUGUGGACAUCGUUAACAAAAGACUGCGGGAGGAUAAUAAAGGUUACGUACUCACAUCCGUGAUCGAUCGGCUUUUCCAUUGAUCGACAAGACCUUUAAUAUACACCGGUACAUAAUUUAACACCAUGUUUUAUAAUUGUCAGAUAUGCUUCUUCUACCACUGUUGCUA
rnacentral:lncRNA from 1 species